rnacentral:lncRNA from 1 species
UAUACUUGCACUUCACGUAGUUAGCACGAAGGUAAUAACAGAAGAUUCAAGUCAAACAUAAAGGCCAGUAGUAGUAAAUACGAAGCAACCGUCCCAACUGUCCCCAACACACAAAAAUAAGCAUUUCUGCAUGCACAUCAUAAAAAAUAAAAAGGGCAGCCGGGUGAACUAAGCUCCCGCUAUGCACGGGGUCCGGGGAAGAGCUGGACCAUAAAGGUCUAUUGUAUAGAGUCUUACCCUGCAUUUCUGCAAGAGGCAAUCCGUGACUUCCUGGUGACAUGACAACAGUUUUACCAGUUACGCCAAAGCACAUCGUGAAAGAAAAAAUGAUUUUGCAUUUAGUUCUGAGAGUCAUAAACCUCCCCCUUUUUUCUCUUGGGAACCGUGUUUUCUGCUGAGAAACUUGAUACUACUAUUACCAGCUGCAAAUGGAGCUAAGUAUUAAUGAAGGAAUGCAGCAGCUCAGCAUUGUUAAGAGAGGUAGCAUCAAAUGUAAACACGGCAUCAAUGGCACAGAGCUCCGCCCAAACGGACCAAUCAUUUGUUAAAUCACAGCUCAUCCAUGGCUGCAACCUGCAGCCAUGCAUGAUUACUAUAGCAGUUACUCAUGACGUUGUUUAUUUUCUCAACUAAUAACUUCCUUUCAAUUUUUGUGUGGCGCUGACUCUUUUAUCUUUGUUUUAAAUGUUUUCCUUAGGUUGAAAUAUACUCUUUUCCUGUUUUACAUAUUAGCCGUUUUGCCCUUAUUUCUUACUCCCUCCGGUCCAUAAUAAGUGAUCAAUUUGCCUUUUUAUUUUUGUCCAAAAUAAGUGUCUAUUUAUAUAAUCAAGAAAAAAGUUAAUUUGUUUUAUAAAAUUACCCUUAUGUACAUAUCCCUAAAAAGUUUUCUUACUUCUCACAUUAAAUAUUUAAUUAAGAGUAGUUUAGUCAUACUAGAUGUUUUGGUAUAAAAUUUAUAUUUUUUUAAUGGGCGUGUCAAAAGUAAAUUGGUCACUUAUGUGGACCGGAGGGAGUAAUUGAAUUUGUUCCAUAUAACUUGUCAAUUUUAAGUAAUAGCCACUGAUAUAUGAAUCUACUUAUAUAUCUUCUCAAGAAUUUUUCCAGAAAUACAUUGAUAUGUAACUUCUCAAAUAACAAUGAAGAACUAGCAAAAUUAAGCAAAUAAUAUUAAAAAAAAAAUGACUGACUAAUAUUUAAAUUCCUAAUGAGGUGAAAAAACCAUCAAAUCAAUAAACCAACCUGAAAUAUAGUACUCUCUCUGGUUCACAAUAAGUGUCCAAUUUGCCUUUUCAUUUUGGUUCAAAAUAAGUGUCCAGUUAUGUAAUCAAGAAAGAAUUCAAUUUGUUUUUACAAAAUAAACCCUGUGUACAUACCCCUAAAAAGUUUUCUUACUCCUCACAUUAAAUGUUAAAUUAGGGGUAGUUUAGUCAUAAUAGGUAUUUUUGUAUAGAAUUUAGUAUUUUCUUAAUGGGCGUGCUAAAAACAAAUUGGACACUUAUUGUGAACCGGAGGGAAUAAUAUAAUUCCUAUAUACUCACUCAUCAAUUAUUACUCAUUUACUGCAUAAAACAACUUACAGGUGAAUUCAUUUACUCCUCUCUAACCACCGCAUUUCCCUCCUUUAUAUUAAACCCUUUGCCACCUUUUCAUUCCUUCUCACUUCAAGCUAGUUACAUUAUUAUUAUUUACACACACUAACCAAAGUAAAUAGAGAAAAUCCAUCUAUAUUGAGGAAAUGGCUAGUAAGUUUAGGCUAUUUUCUUUGGGUUUUCUGUUGUUUGUUGUAUUGGCUAAUAAUGCAAUAUGUCAAGAAGAAGAUGGAACGAGGAAUGCUUUGGUACCAGCCAUGUUUAUAUUUGGUGACUCUUUGAUUGACAAUGGAAACAACAAUAAUUUGCCUUCUUUUGCAAAGGCUAAUUAUUUUCCUUAUGGCAUUGAUUUUAAUGGUGGCCCUACUGGUCGUUUCUCCAAUGGUUACACCAUGGUUGAUGUAAUUGGUAAUAUACACAAAUUAUCCACUUAUUUAUAUUUGUUUUUUUCUCCAAAUACUUCAUUUUCUAACCCCUUGUGCAUGGAAUUUAUUUCAUGGCAUCCCUUAUUCUUGUCGAUUUUUCCUGCUGAAGUUACCUCUAGACUUUCUAUUUUUCUCUAGGUAGAAUAUUAAGAGCAAGUAUCAUUAGUUAGAAUGAUUAAAUAAGAUAGUAGAGUAUUAGCAUACACAAUAAUCAAGCCAAAUAUAAUGUGAUACUUUCAAACUCAGAUUUAGGUAUAACAAUAUUUUAGACUCUAGUAUAUGUGGACUUAUUCUCAAAAUUUUUUCUAUAUUAACCCGAAUAUCUGUCCACCCAUCCACUUAAAUUAAAAGUAGCUCGUUGAGGUAUAAUAUAUGCAUAAUUUGUGUAUUAUAGGUAUAUAUUUGUGUAUAAACAAUAUAUAGUCUGUAUAAGGCUAGAAAAUGUAGAUAAUAAAUGUGACCGACUAUUUGUGUAAUGAUCCCUAAUUUUCCCGCCAAGAAACUUCUCAUAACUAGGUAAAAUAUUUAAACAAGGAUAAAAGCAACCAUUUAUUUCAUUUUCUAAAAAAAUAGAUAAAAUUAGAAAAGUGGGUGAAUUAAUAUACAUAUUUUAUACACUUUUUAGCUAGCGAAUACAAUUAAUUUCACCCGACCAGUCAUUUUCGUAUUUUGCCCUUAGUUAUUGACUCAUUAUUACUUGCAGCUCAAUUGCUUGGACUACCCCUUAUUCCACCAUACACUGAGGCUUCUGGAGACCAAAUGCGAUUUGGAAUAAACUAUGCCUCAGCUGCUGCUGGGAUUCUUGAUAUUACUGGCAGAAACUUUGUGAGUUUUCUUUUUUAUUUAUUUUUAUUUUUUGAAAUAUCUAAUUCACCCGUCAGACAAGAGGGGUUGCUCUGAUGGUAAGCAACCCCCACUUCCAACCGAGAGGUUGUGAGUUCGAGUCUCCCCAAGAGCAAGGUGGGAAGUUCUUGGAGGGAAGGAUGCUGAGGGUCUAUUUGGAAACAGAUACUGGGUUGUUGUUGUUGUUGUUGUAUCUAAUUCACCCCUCCCCCUUCCCCCAAAACUUGCAUUNNNNNNNNNNNNNNNNNNNNNNAUUGCAUUGCUAAUACCAUGUUUUCUUAUGCAUUAGUUAUGCAUAGGAUAAUACCAAAUAGGAUGUAUAACUAAUGCUUACAUAACUAAUGCAUACGAUCAAAAUGUCUACCAAACAAUGUAUUAUUAAUACACAAAGCUAAUGCAUGUAUUAGCUUAUCUAAUGCAUCCUACCAAACGACCCCUUGUGCAAAGAACUAUCAAUGUAAAUAUAGCCUGCUAUGGUAGGGGUUUUUAACUUAUUUUUAGGCUACUAAUUUUACUUAUUAUGAACAAUUACUUAUAAUUAUUUUUUCCUGAUCUGAUAGUGUAGUUUUUUUUUUGUACUGUUAGUGUAUAGAAAAUUUAGGAAUUUGAUGAAUUGAAUACAACAACAACAACCCAGUAUAAUCCUACUUAGUGGGGUCUGGGGAGGGUAGUGUGUACGUAGACCUUACCCCUACCUUGAGGUAGAGAGGCUCUUCCCACCUUGCUCUUGGGGAGACUCGAACUCACAACCUCUUGGUUGGAAGUGGAGGUUGCUUACCAUCAUAGCAACCCAUUUGUCUAAUUUGAUGAAUUGAAUGAUGAAUUGAAUUUGAUGAAUUGAAUGAUGCAUCAAAUUCAUAUAGAACCCAAUGGAAGACAAUUUAAAUGCCGUAACAAUAAAUCCAUGAACAAACUAAAUAACAAAGGUAAAUGAAGAGCAUUUAGAUCUAGGAUUUAAAUUUUAUGGGCUUAACUUAUCAAAUUUUUAGCAUUGAAUCCAUUGUAUUUUUAAAGUUAUAGGUUUAUAUUGCUAUAUACUGCAAUAUUAUUGAAUUUUUACACAUAAAUUUAUGCUCUGCGCCAAAAGUACUGAGUUUAGUUGAAUCCGGUACCAAUAACUUGCGUCCGCCAUCUCUAUACCACCUAUCCAAUUGCUGUUACUUUUUACAUUUUAAAGUGUCACAUUAGUGUCUUUUAAUAGAAUCUUGCAUGUAAUUAAUUGGACAUUUUUAUUAAUAAUGUUAUACAGGUUGGACGUAUUCCAUUCAAUCAGCAAAUCACUAAUUUUGAGAGCACAGUUAACCAAAUCAGAAGCAAUCUUGGAGUAUCAGAUGUAGGAGAGGCAUUAGCCAAAUCUAUUUUCUUUGUUGGAAUGGGAAGCAAUGACUAUCUUAAUAAUUACCUUAUGCCUAAUUAUAAUACAAAGAAUCAAUAUAAUGCUCAACAAUUUGCCAGUCUCUUGGUUCAGCAGUAUAAUCAACAACUUAUGGUAAGACUCUUUUUUUUUUUUUUUUUUUAAUUUUUUAUUAUCUCUUUUGUAAUUUUCCAAAUUAGUGUAUUUUCUAUUUUUCUCUAAUAUAAUAUACAGUCAGACCUCUCUAUAACAACAUCUUUAUAUAAUAGAAAUUCACUAUAAAAACCGAGUUAUUCUUGGAAACGAAUAAAAUAUUUCGGAACAAACGAGGUUGUUACAGAGAGGUUUGAAUGUAUAUACUUUUAUAGUAGAGGGUUUUUGGUGAAAAGAAAGAAAUUAUAUUUUCUUUUUCCUUUUUAUUUUCUUUUUUUCUUUGGUGCCUGGCAAGUGGAAAACUAUUUACCUUUUCCUCUUUUAUUGGGAAACAAUUUUUUAUGUAGCAAUUGAUCUAGCUGGUUCCUCUCAUUUUCAGCACAAUAAAUAUUAGAAUAAUUAAAUUCUUUUGAAAUAUUUUAUUUAUUUAAAUGACGUACACACUAUCCUCCCCAGACCCCAUUUAUGGGAAUAAACUGGGUUUGUUGUUGUAGUUUAUUAUUUGAUAUUUUGUACCACAUUGAAUAAAUAACAAAUUCCUUUUUUUUCAACACUGUAUUUGUUUUAUACAGGAAGAGAAAACCUUAAAAUAAACCUUUUCUGCUAGAUUGUUUCUGUUAAAAAUCCUUUAGUGACAUCAUUUGUGGAAAAUUCUAUGUUUUCUUUUCUUUUUUAAAAAAAUAUUCCAUCUUCAUCUAUCAGUUUGAGGUGAUUUCCUUCACUUUAAAUAAGACAACAUAGAUUUGAGUUAAGCCAUUUUUUUCCUAGGACUUUACUCUAAACUAGUACUUUUCAUUUAAUUUAUCAACAUGUUUUUCCUUCUAUUUUUUUCCCUUUCUUAAUUCAAUUUAUGAAAAUUGCAGAGAUUAUAUAAUCUUGGAGCUAGAAAAUUUGUGAUUGGUGGAGUUGGACUAAUGGGGUGUAUUCCAAGUAUUCUUGCACAAAGUCAAAAUGGUGAAUGUUCAGAGGAAGUGAAUCAACUUGUUCUUCCAUUCCAUAACAAUGUUAGAUCAAUGCUUAACAAUUUUAAUACCAAUCUUCCUGGUUCCAAAUUUGUUUACAUUGACAUCAGGAAUAUGUUCCAAGAUCUCCUUACCAAUUACAGACAAUAUGGUAAGUUAAUCUUAUUCCAGAAAAGUUCUUAUUUAUUUUAUUCAAUAUUUUAUUUUACUCGGAUCCAUUAUUUGCUACUUGGCUGCUUUAUCUUAUCUCUAUUGUUCCUUGAGCUGAGGAUCUAUCGGAUCAUCCUCUCUACCUUUAUAAGACCCCAUUUAUGAGAUUACACUGAGUUUUUUUUUGUUUUGUUUUUGUUAUUGUUGUUGUUGUAUUUCUCUUGGACAAAGAAAGAGACAUUUGAAAAGUUCAUGUUCUUUACAAUAAGUUAAAUUUAAAAUAUAUUAAUAGUAUAAAAAUUCUUUAAACUGAUAAUGUAUAAAAGUUAAAUCCAUUUUUAGUUACUCUUUAACUGAAAAGCGCAACCCAGUACACAAGGCAUUUCACGUUCACGCAAGGUUCGAGAAGUGCCGCACCCCAAGGGGAGUGAUGUACACGGCCUAUUUUAAUGCAAACAUUAGUGACUGCUACCAUGGCUCCAACCUGUGACCUAUAAGUCACACGGAAACAACUUUUACCGUUACUCCAAUGGUCCCCUUCUAAUUACCCUUUAACCAUCCACCCCUUUUUCUUGCUUUCCCUUUCUUUUCUUUUUCUUUCCUUCUAUUACUGUUAUUAUUAAUGCUCUCCCCUACUACAGUCCUUUUUGUCUAAAUAAAGAUUUCUUGGAAUUUUGUAUUAAAUCCUUGGAAGAAAAAGCUAACAUUCUGUAUUCAAUAUUGUUAAUGAUGUAACAGGAUUUAGUGAAAUAAAUAAUGGAUGCUGUGGAGUAGGGAGAAAUAGAGGGCAAAUAACAUGUCUACCAUUCCAAACACCAUGUCAAAAUAGGGAACAAUUCAUAUUUUGGGAUGCAUUUCAUCCAACUGAGGCAGUUAACAUCUUGUUUGGAAGGAAGGCUUUCAAUGGUGGUCCUGAUGUUGUUUAUCCCAUCAAUAUUCAGCAACUUGCCACUUUUUGAGUUUUUUUUUUUCUAUGGAAAAUUAUGGAAGAAAUUAACUUGAAUUUCUUUAGCUUCUCAUUUAUUUGAAGUGAACUUAGUUUUCUUUUUUCUAGUUAAUUUUUUUCUUUUGGGUAUUUUGCUAUAUUUAGUAGAGAAUAUAAUCUUGUGGAGAACCAUGAAGCAGUGGCUGAUAUAUUAGGAAUGCGUUAGAAUAUACAAUUUUACUGCAAAUUUCUUAAGAUCCACAAUGCCUCAAAAGAUUAAAAAAAAAAUAUGAUUUAAAUAUUAUAUUUAUUAUUCUUUUUCUGAUGAAGAGAUUUACUUAUGAAUUGGAAAAAAAAGGUUGUUGCAAGUACUUGAGUGGUGCAGGCAGGGAGAUAAAGAUAGGGAUCAAAAAUCAUAAGCCAUUAUUAUUUUUUAACAUUAUUUAUAGUUCUUCAAUAAUUGUUUAAUUAAUUACUACUCCGUCUAGGUCUGUUACGACCCAAACCGAAGGGCCGCGACGGGCACCCGGUGCCUUAAUCGAGUACCAACAUAACAUAUAUUUCUUAUUAUACUAUCUUGAGUAAAUAAGCCAGAAACCCGUCAUGAGAUAACAAGAAUAAAACGUAAGGGAAUACUCAACAUAUGACGACCCAACAUGAUAUACAAACUUAUACAUGAGACAUACGGGCCUAGAAGGCCGACAUGACCCUUUGUAAACUCAACACAUAGGCCAACAAGGCCAUACAAGUAUCCAUAAACCCGACAUCUGUCUACAAGCCUCUAAGAGUACAUAAAAUCAUAAAGGUCGGGUCAGGGCCCGCCAUACCAAUCAAUACAUAUCCAAAACAUACCGACCAAAUAGGUAAUUUUGGAGCAAGUGGAUUGCACCAACACCUCCGCUGAGCUAAUAGCCUACUAGGAAGACUGUCAACCUUUAUUUGAAAACAUACCCGGCCAUCAUAAGGCUCGGUAGAAUCGUACCCGACCACGUGGAGCUCGGUAAAUCCAACUGAUCAGUGGUUGCACAAUAGGUGUCAUACCCGGCCUACUAUAGCGCGGCUCGGUAGAGUAAAAUAGAUACUAUAUAUAAUGCAUGCUAGACUCAUGGAAUCACGUUCUAAACCUUUUGGAGUGACUUAAGGUCGUUGCACCUUCGAUUAACAUUAUGGACAUUAUACCAUCAAUAUGAGCUUCUAUAGGAUUCAAGGAUCAUACAUACUUGCUUAAAAUAACUUUAUAAGGAAAGAAUAACAUGAGCAACCUUAGUUUCUAGGAGUAGAUCCGUUAUGAAAUAGCGUAUUCAUUUCACUUUAGAUCAUGCCAAAAGAAAGAGGGAAGUACCUUAACAUACCUUAACCAUGGUGAGUCCUUAAUACCUCCCAAGCUACUCUUCAGACAACUCAACUCAAUCUACCAUUGCAUAAGGAGAUUCAAAUUAGUGUUGAAUAAAGGCUAAGUCUGCAAUUUAAACUUGUAGCUCGUUUAUAUAAAUUCGGGCAGCAUCU